UACGUAGGGUGCGAGCGUUGUCCGGAAUUACUGGGCGUAAAGAGUUCGUAGGCGGUUUGUCGCGUCUGCUGUGAAAACUGGAGGCUCAACCUCCAGCCUGCAGUGGGUACAGGCAGACUAGAGUGCGGUAGGGGAGAUUGGAAUUCCUGGUGUAGCGGUGGAAUGCGCAGAUAUCAGGAGGAACACCGAUGGCGAAGGCAGAUCUCUGGGCCGUAACUGACGCUGAGGAGCGAAAGCAUGGGGAGCGAACAGG
rnacentral:rRNA from 1 species